CCAGUGUUGAUCCUAAGAGCACACCUCUAGAAACAUCCAACAUGGUAACCUCAGACUCGAAAUUUAUUUCCCAGGAAACCUAAGUUAAGACAGUUUUCUAUUUAGAUUUAAAAACAUGUAAAAAAUUACAUAGGGUCUGGGAAAGUUCAUUACAAGAGCCUUUCUAAUGACAAGGGAGCUCCAUGCACUCUUUAUCAGCCUUCAGGAGUGUCCAAGAUGAAGGCAAAUUCCAGCUCUUCCCUGAUAAGAAGAUGGAGAUCAAAGUGUUUGGUACUAUGUUAGAGAGGGCCAUUGGGAAAGUGGUAUGUGGUUCUAGGAAGAAGGACAUAAAUAUAUGACUAGGAAUGAA